rnacentral:rRNA from 1 species
GGGUACCACAUGCAAGUCGGUAUGACGGGCAGCCGCUAUGGUGCUUUCACUGGCGCGACGGGUGAGUAACGCGUGCCAUCCUGCCCUUGGGAGGGGGACAACAGCUGGAAACGGUUGCUAAUACCCCAUAGGCUGAGGAGCGAAAGGAGGAAUCCACCCCCCGAGGGGCUUGCGUCUGAUUAGCUAGUUGGUGAGGCAAUGGCUUACCAAGGCGACGAUCAGUAGCU